rnacentral:rRNA from 1 species
AUUGAACGCUGGCGGCAUGCUUUACACAUGCAAGUCGAACGGCAGCGCGGGCUUCGGCCUGGCGGCGAGUGGCGAACGGGUGAGUAAUACAUCGGAACGUGCCCAGUAGUGGGGGAUAGCUCGGCGAAAGCCGGAUUAAUACCGCAUACGACCUGAGGGUGAAAGCGGGGGAUCUUCGGACCUCGCGCUAUUGGAGCGGCCGAUGGCAGAUUAGCUAGUUGGUGGGGUAAAGGCCUACCAAGGCGACGAUCUGUAGCUGGUCUGAGAGGACGACCAGCCACACUGGGACUGAGACACGGCCCAGACUCCUACGGGAGGCAGCAGUGGGAAAUUUUGGACAAUGGGCGAAAGCCUGAUCCAGCAAUGCCGCGUGUGUGAUGAAGGCCUUCGGGUUGUAAAGCACUUUUGGCGGGAACGAAAAGGACUGUGCCAAUACCACGGUUCGAUGACGGUACCCGCAGAAUAAGCACCGGCUAACUACGU